rnacentral:lncRNA from 1 species
AGCAACUGGUCAGACAUUCAGGCCAUUUUCUUUCUGCUAGCCUGUGCUUCUUUGAGUAGGUCCAAUUCAGUGCUACUAGUUUUAUAGGUGUAAGAACAUGAAGGAUCUGAGGCUGUGCCAGUCCAUGCUGGAGAAGUACCUGACUGGACUGAGGAGUAGAAACCUCGGCCACGGACCAUGAAUGUGCUGUUCUCCUUCCCUGGAUGACAGUCAG